rnacentral:rRNA from 1 species
CCGCGUGAAGGAUGAAGGACCUAUGGUUGGUAAACUGCUUUUAUACGGGACAAAACCCCCGAUCGUGAAUCGGGGUGAAUGUACUGUAAGAAUAAGGAUCGGCUAACUUCGUGCCAGCAGCCGCGGUAAUACGAAGGACCCGAGCGUUAUCCGGAUUUAUUGGGUUUAAAGGGUGCGUAGGCGGAUUAGUAAGUCAGUGGUGAAAGCCUGCAGCUUAACUGCAGAACUGCCAUUGAAACUGCUUUUCUUGAGUGCAUUUGAAGUGAGCGGAAUGUGUCAUGUAGCGGUGAAAUGCUUAGAUAUGACACAGAACACCGAUUGCGAAGGCAGCUCACUAAACUGUAACUGACGCUGAGGCACGAAAGCGUGGGGAUCAAACAGGAUUAGAUACCCUGGUAGUCCACGCCCUAAACGAUGAUAACUCGCUGUUGGCGAUACACUGUCAGCGGCCAAGCGAAAGCAUUAAGUUAUCCACCUGGGAAGUACGACCGCAAGGUUGAAACUCAAAGGAAUUGACGG